ACACUGUGCGAUUUUUGGCCCAUUUUGAGCAGAUUUUUGACUCGUGCAUCUAUUUUUGGGAUCGUGUGAGUCUCUACUAGAUCGUGUGUCGUGCAUCGUGUAAUAUAUGUAGCCCUGUACAAAAUUCAUAUAAGUUACAGAACAUAAAAGAUAAUUUACAGAAGAUAAUUUACAGUGUAAUAACAGACUGUGUUAAUAACAGUUCAUAAAUACAGUUCAUGGUAGUUAUAAAUGUUUAACAAGUGUGCUGUUUAAAAGCAUAAAUAUAAUAUGUAAAUUUAAUAAAUAAGACUAUUUACAUUUAAAAGAUCAAACCAUAUAAAAGUCUUUAAUGUUCAUCUAAGAGAAAAGUAGAGAAGAAGAAGCUGUGUUUAUUUGCGUAACCUAACUUGUUACCUGACAAAUGUCAAUCAUUUAAUUCCCGUUUUGUUGUUGGUUGUUUUAAUACUCGAGCCAAUCAGAGUAACGCCACUGUGUAAGGGGCGGGACUAGUGGCACGGGUUUGUGCGGGGAGUAGUGAGCACGCAUGAGGAAAGAGAACAGACGCUAUCGAACAGAGAGCUUAUGAAGGAGGCAUCGUGGUGUGGGAAGCAUUAAUGUUAUGUUUUGAAGGUCGACUACCCGUGGUCCUGACGUAAACUUUGAUGUGACCUACAAGAGGAGACGGACGUUGGAGAGAGAGACUGGUUUCCAACUGAAGGCCCUGCUGUUUCUGCCUUGCUGUUUCGCCGUGGCGUGCCCUGCUGCCGAGCUGUGACCGCUGUGACUGUACUUCUUUUGCCAUCGCCAUUGCCUUUGUCACACUGAGACUCUUAUCCCUAUUCUUUCUGCCCCUACUGACAUAACCUGGAUUCGUGAGUACUAACAUUAACAUGCACGUGCUUUUUGUUUAUGCUCAUAACUGAGUGAAGUGGCCAUCCCAGUUUUUAGGCCCCACCGCACACGAAGUGUCAUCAAAACAGGCCUGCAACGGGUUGGGAACUUAUUUAAUAUUUGUUUUAUAUAAAUGUGUGUGGGCCACAGGUAUAAUAUUGAGUUUUGAUUUGUAAUUGAUUUUAAAAGUGUGUUUUUUUUUAAGGCAAUUUGAAUAUUUUAUUUCCAAAAGAGGAUUUAAAUAAUUAUUUCCUUCCAAGUUACUCACAGAAAAGUUUUCCUUUCGGGAAAGUGAAGUUUUAUUUGUUUAUAAGUUUAUUUUGAAUAUAUCUUUUCAUACCCAUGUGAUUUUAUUUUAUUUUACAUGAAGAUACAUUUAUCUUUUACUUUGUGUUGUAAAUAAAUUUGUGAAUAUUUUUGCA
rnacentral:lncRNA from 1 species